CAUGGUAAAGGUAAAAAUAGUUCUUCUUUGGUUCCUAAAAUGUCAUAUUGAAAGUCGACUUAAAAAAAUUGCUCUCAUCUUAUGUUGCAAUUUCAGGUCAAUUCUCUCAAUCUUUGCCUUUCUGGUUCUCAAUCUUAAAGCUUUCAAAAGUUGUUCUUUCAGUUUUCUUCCUUUUCACUAUUGGGUGUUCCAAAUCAAUUACGAUCCAGAGUAACAUGUAAGAAGGUAUUUCAAAACAGCUUCCUGUUAUGUGGUUUCUGGGAUAGCAAAGGUUGGCUGCUAAGCUGGGUAUUGUAUCUCCAACACAUUUGAAAUGAUAGAUCAAGAAAGGCGUUGAUUUUGAAGCUCCCAAAUGGAGUUAUGUAACAUCAUUCAUCGUGGACAAACAAGAAACUACUGCCUCUCACAGGGGUAGAAUGUUAAUGAGCCGCUAAAGUUGAAAAAUGGUUGUCAAAGAAUGAGAAAGCGCAAGAAUUAGUUCUGCAGCAUUUUCUAUAAACUGAAAAAGCUUGUGUGUGGGCUAUUCAAACUGGGAAGUAUGUACGAUCUCUUCUUACAGAUCAUUACUACUGUCUACCAAAAGUUGAAUUCUUAGUGUCUCUCUAUUCGGCUUGAAACAUGAAGCAACAAAUAUUGACCAAGAGUAAAUGCUUAAAUUGAGACAAAAGGACUAUAAUACUUAUGGUAUGUCAUGUCUUAAAUCUAUUUUAUGUUUUAUCAAACUCUCAAUUUUUCCACAAAUUUGUCCAUGGACACUGGUCAAAGUAUCCGAUUUGGGUUGAAGAAAUCCCACACGUAUUCCCGCACUCAUCUCGUGUCGACACAGGUGCAACAACAAAAAUGAAGAGUCUGCGCAACUUAGCUCAAGGUUGUGUGUUCAAUAGCAAAAUAAUUACAAUUUUGCAUAUCAUGAACCUUGUUUCCCUGUUAAUCUAUGUUGCUUUUCAGGUAUCAUUAAAACUUGUUUAUUUGGUCAUUGGUUCAGGUGUAGCAGCAAUGGUUUUUACGUUUUAACUAACUAAGCUAAAUUUUAUUUGUGUUGAUUGUUUUCAAGUAUGAAUUAAUAGAAAAAGUUGCUAAAAAAAUUUGUGUUUAUUUGUUUGGUAGAGGUGAGUUGUUAGACGCUUACUGCAGAGCGACAAACUGUGUGCUACUAAGGGUGUUGAAUUUAAGAAGUGUUCUGUGACAAGAAGUUACGUCUUCGAUGAGGAAGUAAAUACGUGAAAAGUUAUUGGGAAAAUGUCUGGUGACAUUUUUAUCACACGAGACGGUUAAAUGGGGAAGAUGAUGAGGUGUGUAGCAAUGUUUACAUGAGGAUUUGGUAUUGCGUUCUUCAAGGGGUGACUUCUAGCACUUGUUAUGGUUUCACCUAUUGUUUCACUUAUACUAGUUGUUGGUGUCGUGUUCCUCUUCAUAGAAGACAGGCUUCCCAGUCGCACAAAGCUUAUUUUAAAGCAACCAAAUGUAGUUGAGCAAACAAUUGGAUCCAUCAGAACAGUGAAAAGCAGGAUAUAUUAUAACAAGUCCUCACAAAAGGCAUACAUAUUUGGGGUACAUGAAUGACUUGCAAUUAAGUGGCUUAGGAUUUGGAUCUUGCCAAUUUUUUCUCUUCUGUAAUUAUGCUUUGGCUUUUUGAUUUAUACGGUGGAAAGAUGAUCUUGGAGAAGAUUACAUAGAAGGUCAAUAGGAUAUAUAAUUAACAGUAAUUUGCACUAAAACAAAGAUUCAAUUGAUCAAGAUGUCACCUACAACUCCAAGACAAACUUCACACCCACAUUCAUGUUGGUAUUGGAUUCUGGUGCCGAUUUAGAGGACCAAUGUUUCAUAUGUCGCCAGAUCUUCAUGAUGGAAGGUGCAUUUUAGUUUCAUCAGAUAGUUAAGACCGCCUCUAUAUGAAUUUUCUAGAAGAGAAGAACUCUCCAUUUCCAUGGUGAAGGUCAAUUCUCUCAAUCUUUGCCUUUCUGGUUCUCAAUCUUAAAGCUUUCAAAAGUUGUUCUUUCAGUUUUCUUCCUUUUCACUAUUGGGUGUUCCAAAUCAAUUACGAUCCAGAGUAACAUGUAAGAAGGUAUUUCAAAACAGCUUCCUGUUAUGUGGUUUCUGGGUUUGCAAAGGUUGGCUGCUAAGCAGGGUAUUGUAUCUCCAACACAUUUGAAAUGAUAGAUCAAGAAAGGCAUUGAAUUUGAAGAUCCCAAAUGGAGUUAUGUGACAUCAUUCAUCGUGGAGAAACAAGAAACUACUGCCUCUCAGAAGGGUAGAAUGUUAAUGAGCCGCUAAAGUUGGAAAACGCUUGUCAAAGAAUGAGAAAGCACAAGAAUUAGCUCUGCAACAUUUUCUAUAAACUGAAAAAGCUUGUGUUGUGGGUUAUUCAAACUGGGAAGUAUGUAUGGCCUCUUCUUACAGAUCAUUACUACUGUCUACCAGAAGUUGAAUUCAUAGUGUCUCUCUAUUCGGCUUGGAACAUGAAGCAACAAAUAUUGACCAAGAGUAAAUGCUUAAAUUGAGACAAAAGGACUAUAAUACUUAUGGUAUGCCAUGUCUUAAAUCUAUUUUAUCUUUUAUCAAACACUCAAUUUUUCCACAAAUUUGUCCAUGGACACUGGUCAAAGUAUCCAAUUUGGGUUGACCGAAUCCCACACGUAUUCCCGCACUCAUCUCGUGUCGACACUGGUGCAACAACAAAAAUGAAGAGUCUGCGCAACUUAGCUCAAGAGGUGAGUUGUUAGACGCUUACUGCAGAGCGACAAGCUGCGCUACUAAGGGUGAUGAAUUUAAGAAGUGUUCUGUGACAAGAGGUUACAUUCUUCGAUGAGGAAGUAAAUACAUGGGAAGUUAUUGGGAAAAUGUCUGGUGACAUUUUUAUCACACAAGAUGGUUAAGUGGGGAAGAUGAUGAGGUGUGUAGCAAUGUUUACAUGAGGAUUUGGUAUUGCGUUCUUCAAGGGGUGACUUCUAGCACUUGUUAUGGUUUCACCUAUUGUUCUGCUGAUAACAGUUGUUGGUGUCGUGUUCCCCUUCAUAGAUGACAGGCUUCCUAGUCGCACAAAGCUUAUUUUAAAGCAACCAAAUGUAGUUGAGCAAACAAUCGGAUCCAUCAGAUGAUCAGAAUAGUUGCAUCAUUCACAGGUGAAAAGCAGGAUAUAUUAUAACAAGUCCUUACAAAAGGCAUACAUAUUUGGGAUUACAUGAAUGACUUGCAGUCAAUAGGUGAGGCAUUUCCUUUCAACAUGUUUGAGACUAUAAACAGGAACUCAGAGAUUGAUGUGAACAACAAUUGUGGAAUAAUUUUUUAUGACAUGCGUGAAAAUACAUAGAUAAAUAUGUUUGUUUUAGCUAUCCAAGUAGACCAACCGAGAGAAUACUCAACGAGUUCUCAUUGUUAAUCCCAAGUGAGAAAUCUACUGCUUUUGAUUGGUGGAACCCGAAGUGGCAAGUCCAUAAUUAUUAGCUUAUUGUCUGGACAAAUGUGUAUGCAUAAAGUAUAUUUGCCCCAAUCAACAAUAAAGUUUAUCAAGUAGAAGUGAAGAAAUAGUAGGAUAAGAAUCUGCAAAAUUUGAUGUAUGUUAUUUUUGUGCGACUUUAAUCAAGUAGAGGUGCACAAUGUUUUAUAUAUUCUUUCCAGGAUAUGUAAUUAACAGUAAUUGCACUGAAACAAAGAUUCAAUUGA